UCUACCUGCUUUCCAAUUUGUUGCCACCCAACUGAGCUCGCCUCGCCACCGCCUCCGUCCGCUUCGCUUCUCUUCUCUGCCGCGAAUCCGCGCGCAUCGGAACGCGCGCGCGCUCGAUCAAAAACGGCGGGAAGAGCACGAGGCGCAGCCAGCCAAGAAGGAGGAGGAGGAGGAGCUGCGCGCCGCGCCGGCGAGCGCGUGCGUGCGUGCGUAGGAGGAGGAGGAGGAGGAGGGGCGCAUGGGGACGAGGCGGCGGCGUCACCAGCACCACGGCAGGUGGGUGGUGCCCGCGGUGGCGCCGGCCGCGGCGGCGUUCACGGCGGCGGGACUGCUGCUCGUCGUCGUCGCUUUCCACUGCUUCCUGUCGCCGCCGCUCGGCGGCGGCGGCGGCGGGGGUGGCGGCCACCGUGUUGUGCGGCGACCGAACCCGCCGUUCCUGUUGAACAAGCCGAGCGAGCUGCGCCGAAAUGUAGUUGGCACCGUCGAUUUUGCCGUUCCUAGCGGCGGGAGCAAGCUGGGCGAAGAGCUCUGGGCGUCGAAACUGGCCAGCAACUUCUUCGGCUGCAGCAACGCGACCAAGGCGUUCGCCGAUGCCAAGGCCGUCACGGAGCCGAAUCGGUAUCUGAUGAUCGCAACGAGCGGCGGCCUGAACCAGCAGCGAACAGGGAUCAUAGAUGCUGUUGUUGCAGCCCGUAUUCUGAAUGCAACACUUGUCAUUCCCAACCUGGAUCAGAAAUCCUUCUGGAAAGAUGCAAGUGAUUUUGCGGAUAUUUUUGAUGUUGAGUCAUUCAUAUCCUCACUCUCAAACGAUGUAAAGAUCAUACGGCAAGUACCUGACAGGAAUGGGAAAACACCAUAUCCUUACAAAAUGCGUAUUCCUAGGAAGUGUACUGCAAAAUGCUAUGAGAACCGAGUAUUACCUGCCCUUUUGAAAAAACAUGUUGUCCAGCUUACCAAAUUUGACUACCGGGUUUCCAAUAGGUUGGAGACUAACCUUCAAAAGCUUAGGUGCAGAGUCAAUUAUCAUGCACUACAGUUCACAGAUCCAAUUCUUAAGAUGGGCGAAAUGCUUGUCCAAAGAAUGAGAGCCAAAAGUGGACGCUUCAUUGCCCUUCACCUAAGAUUUGAGCCUGACAUGCUCGCCUUCUCUGGUUGCUACUUUGGAGGUGGGGAAAUUGAGAGAAGAGAACUCGGUGCAAUCCGUAAGAGAUGGAAGACACUGCAUGCAAGCAACCCUGACAGAGAACGUAGGCACGGUAAGUGCCCUCUCACACCAGAAGAGGUUGGCCUCAUGCUCCGAGCAUUGGGAUUUGGGAAGGAUGUGCACAUAUAUGUUGCAUCAGGUGAGGUGUAUGGUGGAGAGGAGACGCUGGCACCUCUGAAAGCGCUCUUCCCAAACUUCCACUCAAAGGAAACUCUAGCUAGCAAGGAGGAGUUGGCGCCUUUCCUCUCAUUUUCAUCUCGCAUGGCAGCGCUUGAUUAUAUUGUGUGUGAUAAGAGUGAUGUAUUUGUGACAAAUAACAACGGCAACAUGGCCAGAAUGUUGGCUGGUCGAAGGAGGUAUUUUGGGCACAAGAGGACCAUAAGGCCCAAUGCCAAGAAGCUUUACUCACUCUUUCUCAAUCGAACCAGCAUGAGUUGGGAAACAUUUUCGUCCAAAGUUCAGACACUUCAGAAGGGAUUUAUGGGGGAGCCCAAUGAGAUAAAACCUGGAAGAGGUGAAUUCCAUGAGCACCCUAUGGACUGUAUUUGCGCAAAGACAAAGGGAAGAAGUGGGCAUAGUAAGCCUCAUCCAAGUAAUCGGAUUGGGGAAGCAAUGGAGAAACGUGCUAAUGAUGGUGAGUUUGACUGGAGAGAUCUGGACUACGGCGAGAAUACACCCUUGGGAAGGGAUUCUUCAAAUGAGACUGAUUCAGACAUGCAUGAAUUGGAGGACAUGGUCUCAGACUAGACAUGUAAAAUGGAUAGUAUCAGAAUUAGGUUUUUCAGCUAAACUGGAUUGCUGGUGAAGUUUUUAGCAGAGAGAAGCUGCAGCGUAAUUUAUAUUCUCCGUUUUUUUAUGGAGACUUGUAGAAAUCAGUGUGGGCUUCUUACAGAGAACACAGAAACAGACCUUCGGUAUGCGCAAAGAAAAUUGUACAGUGCUGUGUUAGUUUCCUGCGAAUGCUGAGAGGCAAAGAAGACUUUUUAGUUCCUUUUUUACUCUUUCAAAUAUUUUACCUGUGUACCAUAAAUAGAUGCUAUAGUAUUAUUUUGGUUUUUUUUUGUCCUUUGGUAUGCGUUUUCUUAUUACCCUUGUUUUUUCUUUCUUUCAACAAGUGGAUGUAACUUUUAGGUUUUUUGCUCCCGUGAAAUUUGUACAUAGCAUGACACCUAAAUGAAAGGGAAAAAAAGAAAAGGAGGAACUUUACAUAUA